GGGGAUGUAGCUCAGUGGUAGAGCGUCCGCUUUGGACGGGACCGGGGUUCGAUCCCCCGCAUCUCCA